rnacentral:rRNA from 1 species
UCGGGAAUAUUGCACAAUGGACGAAAGUCUGAUGCAGCAACGCCGCGUGCGCGAUGAAGGCCUUCGGGUUGUAAAGCGCUUUUCGGGAGGAUGAGGAAGGACAGUACUCCCGGAAUAAGGUACGGCUAACUACGUGCCAGCAGCCGCGGUAAAACGUAGGUACCGAGCGUUAUCCGGAUUUACUGGGCGUAAAGCGUGUUCAGGCGGCCUGGCAAGUCGGGCAUGAAAUCUCUCGGCUCAACCGGGAGAGGCUGUCCGAUACUGCUGGGCUUGAGGACGGUAGAGGGUGGUGGAAUUCCGCGUGUAGUGGUGAAAUGCGUAGAUAUGCGGAGGAACACCAGUGGCGAAGGCGGCCACCUGGACCGUCCCUGACGCUCAAACACGAAAGCUAGGGUAGCGAACGGGAUUAGAAACCCCGGUAGUCCUAGCCGUAAACGAUGUUGACUGGGUGUCAGAGGUGUAAAACCCUUUGGUGCCGGAGCAAACGCGUUAAGUCAACCGCCUGGGGACUACGGCCGCAAGGUUAA